AUUCAUUCAAAGAAAGUAAGAGAACACAAAGUGAGUUUACUAGAAUGGCUACUAAUAUUACUCUAAAGCUUUUUUUGUGCAUUCUUUUGGUGGCUUUGCUUUCCACUUCAGACGCAACAAGUGGCACAAUGGAUAGGAUUGAAAAUGUGGGUUUUUGUGAUUACAAAGGACAAUGUAACAGUUCAUCAUGCAGUGUUUUGUGUACUAAACAUUAUCACUACCAAAUUGGUCACUGUAUUGCCACAGUAGGUUGCUGCUGCUAUAAUAAUAAUAAUAGGUUAACUUAAGAGCUUUUCUCAUUAUGUUUGUAGCAAAGUGAGAAUUAAUGAAAUAAAAAUUUAUUGAAGUUUA